rnacentral:tRNA from 1 species
AGUAAUUAAUUUUCAAAAUAUAAGACUGCAAAUCUUACAUUCCUUAAUAUUAAUCUU